UUUAAGGGGUGAAGAGGGUGCGUUUCAAUCAGAUGCUCCUGGAACGUCGAAAUUGUCUUCUUUGGAAAGAACCAUCCCCUCUUUGGGCUUCAGAGGCCCAAAUUGAGGCGCAAUGAUGAGAGGAUGUGGUGGUCUACUCUGAUGUCAAUCUUGAGGGCUAGGUUCUCAUCUGUGUCUAAAGGAGAGAGGGGAGUGGAAGAGGGAGAAAAGAAAAUUUGAGAGAGGAAAGAGAUUGAUCCUUUGACCUGAAGUUCUUCUGGCUCACAAGACUAUUAGAGGCCCAGACUAACCCAGAGGCAGAGGCAGAAUUUCCAAUUCAAACUCAGGGCUGGAGGGGGUGUGAGGGUGAGCUGAGCAUCAUGGGCUCUGCUCUAACUUCUUUUGCACUCUCUUCCCACUGAGUCACCUUCCCUGGAAUUGGGGAUUUUCCAUAAUCACAUAGGGCUGAUUCUUACACUGCUCGCAGGAAGAAAAAUCUCGGGUACACAUGGAGCUCUAAACUUCUUUUACUGUCAGCUUUAUCAGGGUUCCUACCAUUUUGCUCUGACACAUUUUAUGGGAUUAGAAAGUCGCCUUUCCUAUGUUUCUCCUGGCUUUCAUAGAAUAUAAGAGGAAGAAAUGUAAAAAUUAGCACUGCUUCUGGGUCAGAAGCUCAAUCUGGCGGCAAAUGGCUAAUAUGCAUUUUUUUUCUCACUCUGGCACUCAAGACUGGCAUGCAGUGGCACAAUCUUGGCUCACUUCAGCCUCAAUCUCCCAGGCUCAAACCAUCCUCCCACCUUAGCCUCCUGAGUAGCUCAGACCACAGGCGAACGCCACCAUGCCCGGCUAAUUUUUAAAAUUUUUUUAUACAGACAGAGUCUCAUUAUAUUUCCCGCUGAGCUUGAACUCCUGGCCUCAAGUGAUCCUACAGUCUUGGCC
rnacentral:lncRNA from 1 species